rnacentral:misc_RNA from 1 species
GGAACUACUAUUUUGAUAUUACUUGAGUUAUAAGAAAAAUCAUUUAAAUUUUAUUGUUAGACAUAUUUUUGUUUCCUGGAUUGGUUUGACUAUAAAUGUUUGACGUUCCUUUACUGUAAUCAAUCCUAUGUAUUAACACUCUUGUACAUGGUGGGUUAGGAUAGUUACACUUUACACCAGAUUAAUAUGGACUUCUGGGGUUAAAUGUGAUAUGUUAUCAAUGCCGGAUUCACCACUAAUGCUGACUAGCCCUCGGCCUAGUAUGUUUAUGAACUUAUCACAUUGAAAUUCGAGAUCAUUGUGUACCGCGUGGCGGUAAAGUAGUUCUUCCACCACUCUAUUAAUGCCAUAUUGUAAUUUGGCUUUAAAAUCUCAACAAGAAAUAUACGACGGUGGAAAUGCGAUCGUCUCAUAGCGAUAAAAUGUAAGAGCAUUCAACUUGAAAUUGAUAGGCGUGAAUUCUAAUACCAUAGACUACCGGGUUUUUUCAUUGUCAAAAAAGUCUAUAAUUUAUUUUUGAUUAAAUUCUCCUCAAAUCUGAGAUUAAUACAAGAUUUCUUUCCAUAUGCAAGACAAUAAUCGUUAAAAGUAAACGGUCUAGACACACCCGAACAAUUCGAACGUCAUUGUUUACUACGCGGCGAUAAAGUGACUCUACUAUGACAACACCGCCCUGGGCAGUAUAGCGGUUUACGCGUUCAAACAGCAGACGUCAGCCUCGUAAAUUUAAAAAACCUGUUCAAUUUUGCAAAAUUAAAUGUUUUAAAUAGUGAAUUGCAAAGUUACAAGCACAAGAUAAUGAGUAAGAGCAUUUUCCGCUAAUAUUCUAUAUUUAAGAGCUCAGUAAUAGAUCUAUGUGCCAAAUAAAUCAGUUUUUGAGUUACAAGGCUGUAAGUAGCUCAAACACGUCAUAAAAGGCAUCCUAAACAAUCCUAUUAUUCUCAUCAAAUGAAUUAGAAUGCAUUGUGUAUUAACUCAAAAUUUCAUAUGUAAGACACAAUUAAUUACUUCUAUUCUUAUAUAAUGAUUAAUAUAAAAAUGUAUAAUUACCAAAUGGCUGAUAUUUAAUAAACAGAUAAACUAUAGAACUAUUUAUUAAACAAAAAGGAUCCACAGGACUUCAGAUUUACAUUUUCAAAAUUUAAAAUUUCAUGAUAUCAUACCGUUAAAAUGUUUCGUUCAACUGUAUUACUCUCGGCUAGUGAUAUACUCUCUUUAAAUAUAAAUAUAGAAUAUAUAUUAAUAUUUUGGAUUAAAAUUAUAUUAUAAAGAGCGUUAAAAAUACGUUAUUAGUCUGUAAGUUAUAUUUUAAGUUAAUCUAAUAAUAUGCCAUUACAAGUUAAUUAUGUACUCAAAUAAUCGUAAUUAUAAAUUCAGGUAACACAAAACAAAGGGGUGGGAGCCUGACAAAACCUUGGCAUAUGUCUUCGAAAUCUGUAAAUCUGGCUCUGUGUGGUAUGGAAAUAAUAGGACUGACGUCUGUAUAGAUUACUUUAUGAGUGACGUAAUUUAGAGGAAACUCCUUUCCUUUUCCAUUAAACAAAAUACAAACGAAAACUCGAAAGACAAACUCACUAAAACUAACAUUGUUCAAACCUGUUAAAAUAAAUAAAACAAUUGUAGAUGUGUUGUUUUGACAAAAAUUUGUGUUUUGUAAAAUAUUCAACGUAAGACACAUCCUAUAUAUGUUCUAAUUACCAUGUUUGAAAACAAUGAGAGAGGAGAUCAGAACGUAGAACCACCCCUACAUUUAGCUAUAAGAAAAGGCCACAGUGCUGUGGUGAGAAUCUUAUUAGAGAAUGGUGCAGAAGUGGAAUACAAAUCAGCAGGUGGGCUCACUGCUCUUCAUAUGGCAGCAAAGAGAGGACAUUUAGAAAUAGUUCAGAGUCUCCUAGAUUUCGGUGUCGACAUUGGUUGCUUAGACGAUUGUGACAAAACUCCUCUUCACCUCGCAAUUGAGGGGGGUCACUAUGUCGUGUGUAGAGUAUUGCUUGAGCACGGUGCUGAAGUCGGAUGUGUGACAAAUACGGGACUGACUCCGAUACAUAUAGCGGCUUUAAGAGGCCAUCUAGAUAUCCUUGAAUGUUUAUUGCUUUAUGGGUCUGAUAUCGAAAGAAAAGAUGGCAGUGAGAGGACACCGUUACAUUGCGCAAUAGAAGGCAGGCAUCUGUCGGUGGUUAGAUUAUUAUUGGACAGAGGAGCUGAUGUAGAAAACAGAGGGAAAUUUGAAAUGAGCCCUCUUCACGCUGCAGCACAAAGGGGCCACAAGAACAUCGUUGAUACUAUUUUGAAAGUUGGAGCUAACCUUGAAAGCAAGGAUACAUUUAAAAAAACUCCCAUUUGCACUUCUAUAGUGGAAGGACAUAGCGGGGUGGUUCGUCUGUUAUUAGAAAAUGGAGCUAAUAUAAAGUAUGAAAAUGAGGAGGGAUUGAACCUUCUUCAUAUUGCCGCUCAGAAAGGGCAGUGUGAAAUAUGUGAGGACUUACUACGAUUCGGAAUUGACAUGGACGGUAAAGACGGGCUGGGCAGAACACCAUUACACGUGGCAGUAGAAGAAGGUCAUAUUCGUAUUGUUAAGCUCCUCGUUGAACGUGGUGCAAAUUUAGAAUCAAAGAACAAAUUGGGAUUUACUCCAUUACAUGUUGCAGUCAGGAUAUCCUCAAAUAUAGUUAGAUAUCUUCUAGAUUUGGGAGCAAAUAUAGACUCCAGGAAUGACAACGGCCGAACUCCUCUUCACGUGGCAUGCGUACUUAAUGAGAAAGAGACGGUGGCAACACUUUUGAAAUUAGGUGCUGACAUUAAUGCAACAUGUAAAAGCGGUCGAGUACCUUACGAUUACACUGAUUGUCAUUACGUGGAUUAUAGUGAGGAGAAAGUGACAAGGAGGCUGUUGGCAGGUCCCGACUCAGUUAUAUACAUGCUAAGACAUCAUAUAAUAAAACUUAAAGUGGCUGGUUUAUACUUACACGAGAGAAACGAAUCAGUUUGCCAUAGUUUUUCCAAACCCAGUCCAUUUUCUGCGUUCCGAAUAUGUUGUGAAAAUGAAAUUUGUUUCAUGAAAUCAAAUCCCAUCGACAACAAUAUUUCAUGCUACGAGAUACUGAAACAAUGGAGAAACCCUUUGUAUGUUGCUAAUGAGGAGGUGAUGGCUAUAUUUGACUCAUACGACUUCGAUCAACGUUUUCCAAUAUAUUCAGACAUUUUAAAAUGUCUAAUAAAAACUUCAAAACUCCGAUUUAUUUUGUUAAAUUCGGCACAAACAUCGUUCCCAUUUCUGAUUCGUCUCAGUGAAAACGAAUUACCAGAACUGCCAGUUGAAGUGACAAGAAUAAUUUUAUCCUUGCUGUCAGAAGAAGACUUAAAAAACGUUUCAUUAUUAGGAAGAGAGCUAACUGGAGAUUCAUCCAACCCACUAGAGUAGUUCAAACGUCAAGUUCCUUUACAAUGCCUAAUCAGGUAUCAUAUACGAUGUAAUAAUUGAACCUCCAAGUGUUGGCUCAACUACAGAUGAACAUGGACACUCUAGACCUGUAGCGUUCAUGCCUUAUCGGGUGAAUGGACAGUACAUCAUGGAGGGUCUUGCCUCUUCGUUCCUCU